AUACGUAGGGGGCGAGCGUUGUCCGGAAUGAUUGGGCGUAAAGGGCGCGUAGGCGGCGCGGUAAGUCUGGAGUGAAAGUCCUGCUUUCAAGGUGGGAAUUGCUUUGGAUACUGCCGCGCUUGAGUGCAGGAGAGGUUAUCGGAAUUCCCGGUGCAGCGGUGAAAUGCGUAGAGAUCGGGAGGAACACCAGUGGCGAAGGCGGGUAACUGGACUGCAACUGACGCUGAGGCGCGAAAGUGUGGGGAGCAAACAGGAUUAGAUACCCUGGUAGUCCACACUGUAAACGAUGAAUGCUAGGUGUAGAGGUAUCGACCCCUUUUGUGCCGGAGUCAACACAAUAAGCAUUCCGCCUGGGGAGUACGGCCGCAAGGUUGAAACUCAAAGGAAUUGACGGGG
rnacentral:rRNA from 1 species